GUGACGGCGGGCGAUCGCCGGAUCCCGGCGCGAGCCGGUGGUCCGGAGGAAAGUCCGGACACCACAAGGCAGCACGCCCGGCGCAAGCCGGGGGGAUCGGGACGCAAGGCCCGGUCCACGGAAAGUGUCACAGAGAACAGACCGCCUGGUCCCGGCCCGAAAGGCGCCGGGGUCGGGUAAGGGUGAAACGGCGAGGUAAGAGCUCACCGGCCCGAGAGCAAUCGAGGGCGCGCGACAAACCCCGUGCGGUGCAAGACAAAACAGGAAGCCCGGCCCGCCUGGCCGGACCGCCCCGCAAGGGGUUGUCGGCUUCCGGGUACUGGUCGCACCCCGGCCUCCGGGCGGGGGUCGUCCGCGCGAGCGGACGGAGACAAAUGAUCGCCACCCCGCUCUUCGGAGCGGGGCACAAAAUCCGGCUUACAACCGUCGCAAAC
rnacentral:RNase_P_RNA from 1 species